rnacentral:rRNA from 1 species
UGGGGAAUUUUGGACAAUGGGCGAAAGCCUGAUCCAGCAAUGCCGCGUGUGUGAAGAAGGCCUUCGGGUUGUAAAGCACUUUUGUCCGGAAAGAAAUCCUUGGCUCUAAUACAGUCGGGGGAUGACGGUACCCGGAAGAAUAAGCACCGGCUAACUACGUGCCAGCAGCCGCGGGUAAUACGUAGGGUGCAAGCGUUAAUCGGAAUUACUGGGCGUAAGCGUGCGCAGGCGGUUUGCUAAGACCGAUGUGAAAUCCCCGGGCUCAACCUGGGAACUGCAUUGGUGACUGGCAGGCUAGAGUAUGGCAGAGGGGGGUAGAAUUCCACGUGUAGCAGUGAAAUGCGUAGAGAUGUGGAGGAAUACCGAUGGCGAAGGCAGCCCCCUGGGCCAAAUACUGACGCUCAUGCACGAAAAGCCGUGGGGGAGCAAACAGGAUUAGAU